AAUAAUUCAGACCACCUGAAACCUCCUUGGUCGGUGAAAUCGACGGAUUUAUUGGCCGGAGAUGGUCUGGAUGAUGGUGUUGUGCCAUGGGUCGGCCAGGUGCUGCUGCAGGUUCUCGAACGGCCCCUUCCCGGUCACGUUGUGCUGCACCAGGAACCCCAGGAACGCCAGCAUGGCCAGUCUCCCUGAACGAAUGAACGCGCGCGCGAAUACAGAUUAACGAGAGCCGUCGGAUUAGAAACCCGAGGGUUCAGAUGAGACUGAAGAGAGGAUGGACGUACCGUUGGCGAGCUCCUUCUCCUUGUUCUCGAGGGUGGGGGCGAAGUUGAGGGGGUUGAAGACGCUGCCGGGGUAGCCGCACUCGUGGGGCGGGAGGCUGUAGCUCUUGAAGAUGGGGUCCUGGUUGACGGAGCCCGGGUUCUUGAUGUCCUGCCACCGCCGGAUCUCGACGUAGUGGAAGAGGAUGAACUCGAUGACGAAGAGCGUGGAGGAGGAGGCGAAGUAGGUCUCCUUGCCGGCGUCGUACCACUCGGGCGCGUUCAGCAGCCCCGCCUUGGUCAGCACCUCCGGGAUCAGCAUCCCCGCCACCCCCAGCAUCGCCCACCGCCCGUUCACCAGCUCCGCCUGCACGAACCACCGCAGGUCCUCCGGGUCCUCCGCCAGCGCCAGCGGGUCAAAACCAUUGUCACCCGCCAGACUGCACACGUAUCGUCCGUCAGUACGGUCGUAAACAUAUGUAACAGCUGCGUGCAUGGGCACGACGGAAGUGGUGUGGCGUGUCGUGUGGUCUGCUCACCUGCCGUCGAGGUAGGCAGGGGACUGGAGGCCGGGGAGCCAGGACCCCUUGGCCUGGACGGCGACGUCGCGGCGGGUGGACUUGGCGAGCCCGACGCGGCCGGAGUCGCCCAGGAACCGGGGGCUCGACGCUGACGCCGCCGGCCGGAGAGCGGCCACGGGAGCGCGGGCACUGACCGACGACAUCUUCUGCUACUCCUGACUAGAGAGCGCGUACGGCAGGAGAGUGAGAGUGCGCGCGUGUGUGUGUGGUGGUUCUGCCUCUCCGCACCUGCGCUUGGCCCUUUGUAUUGGGCUGCGCUUCGGUGAUUUGUGGGUGUGGUGAGCUGGGCCCCGGAGGUCGAGAUGGACGGCGUGUGUUGGCGCCACCGCGUCGUCCGACGGCUGCGAUGCGUUUGCGCCUGGAGACUGGAUAGAUGGACCAGUGGGAGACCGGGAGGCGUAUGUGCGUUAUCUGGAUGAUGGAUAAUGCGGAAUCAAAAGGGGGAUCGCUAUUGGUCGGGGAAACGCACGUUCGGUUUACCUGGCUGCCACGUCGAUCGGACGAUCCGUCAUGAUGUACAGCUGUACAUGGUGCCAUGGCGGGUUGGUCUGUUUGCUUCAACUUUCGAGCUCUUCCACGGGAAACCGGCUUUCGCCCUAGAAAUGGCACGGAUGGUCGAACGGAUACAAGGUGAUGGAAAGAACCCCAUAGAAGGCGGUCGCGGCGAGCCGUCACGAUCCCGUAAUCGAACAAGAAAAUAAGAGUCGCCACACCUAACAUGAGGCGACCUAGACUAUUGAAUCGGAACUCAACCGUGCCGCCUAGGAAAAUCAUAGACCAUUAUGCAUAAAACACAUCAAGUUAUCGCCGGAGAAAGUAAGUGUCGAUCCAAUCCGUGGAGUUCCAAUCCUGCGAGCAGAUAGCGAGGACCAAUGACAUUGACUACGAGGACACGUGUAAAUGAUAGGGGAUCAACGGAUCCACUCCACGACGAAGCCGAAGGCACCGAUGUGCUGUAACUGGAUGAUAUUUGUGUUCCCCGACAAUGCCCCGAGGAGGGUAAUGAUGUAGAGCGUUGAUACGUCUCCAACGUAUUUAUGGUGUUUUUAUUGUGUCAUGCUAUUAUAUUAUCAAUUUCGGAUGCUUUAUAUGCUAUUUUAUAUCAUUUUUAAGAACUAACCUAUUAACCGAGUGUCCAGUGUCAGUUCCUAUUUUUUGCGUGUUUUGACUUCUCAGAAAAUCAAUAACAAACGAAGUUCAAACAUGAUGAAACUUUAUGAUGAUUCUUUCUGGACCAAAAAGGGACCCCUAGAAGGUUCGGGAGGAGGCCAGAAGACGUAGGGAGAGCCACAAGCUCACAGGGUGCGCCCCCCCCCCCCCGGGGGNNNNNNNNNNNNNNNNNNNNNNNNNNNNNNNNNNNNNNNNNNNNNNNNNNNNNNNNNNNNNNNNNNNNNNNNNNNNNNNNNNNNNNNNNNNNNNNNNNNNGACGUCUAACUUGUUUUUGCAGGGUAUGAUUGUGAUGUGAUAUGGCCAAUGAUGUGAUGUGAUAUAUUGGAUGUAUGAGAUGAUCAUGUUGUAAUAGAAAUAUCGACUUGCACGUCGAUGGUACGGCAACCGGCAGGAGCCAUAGGGUUGUCUUUAUACUAACGUUUGUGCUUGCAGAUGCGUUUACUAUUUUGCUAGGAUGUAGCUUUAGUAGUAAUAGCAUAAGUAGCACGACAACCCCGAUGUCAACAUGUUGAUGGAUGAUCAUGGUGUGGCGCCGGUGACAAGAAGAUCGUGCCGGUGCUUUGGUGAUGGAGAUCAAGNNNNNNNNNNCUUGCAGAUGCGUUUACUAUAUUGCUAGGACGUAGCUUUAGUAGUAAUAGCAUGCGUAGCACGACAACCCCGAUGGCGACACGUUGAUGGAGAUCAUGAUGAUGGAGAUCAUGGUGUGACGCCGGUGACAAGAAGAUCGUGCCGGUGCUUUGGUGAUGGAGAUCAAGAAGCACGUGAUGAUGGCCAUAUCAUGUCACUUAUGAAUUGCAUGUGAUGUUAAUCCUUUUUGCACCUUAUCUUUCUUAGAACGACGGUAGCAUUAUGAGGUGAUCUCUCACUAAAAUUUCAAGACGAAAUUGUGUUCUCCCCGACUGUGCACCGUUGCGACAGUUCUUCGUUUCGAGACACCAGGUGAUGAUCGGGUGUGAUAGACUCAACGUUCACAUACAACGGGUGCAANNNNNNNNNNUGAAAUUGUGUUCUCCCCGACUGUGCACCGUUGCUACAGUUCGUCAUUUCGAGACACCACGUGAUGAUCGGUGUGAUAGACUCAACGUUCACAUACGACGGGUGCAAAACAGUUGCGCACGCGGAACACUCGGGUUAAGCUUGACGAGCCUAGCAUGUGCAGACAUGGCCUCGGAACACAUGAGACCGAAAGGUCGAUCAUGAAUCAUAUAGAUGAUGUGAUUAGCAUAGGGAUGCUUACCACUGAAACUAUACUCAACUCACGUGAUGAUCGGACUUGAGAUAGUGUAGGUGGAUCAUGAACCACUCAAAUGACUAGAGAGAUGUAAUUUUUGAGUGGGAGUUUAGCAGAUAAUUUGAUUAAGUUGAACUCUAAUUAUCUUCAACAUAGUCUAAGUCCACUUUGAAUAUAUUUGUGUUGUAGAUCAUGGCUGACGCAAGUGUCAUCCUGAAUUUUAAUACGUUCCUAGAGAAAGCUAAGUUGAAAGAUGAUGGAAGCAACUUUGUAGACUGGGCUCGUAAUCUUAAGCUAAUCUUACAAGCUGGGAAGAAGGAUUAUGUCCUUGAUGCUGCGCUAGGAGAUGAACCACCCGCUACGGCUGAUCAGGAUGUUAAGAACGCUUGGUUAGCGCGUAAGGAGGACUACUCAAUAGUUCAAUGUGCAGUCUUGUAUGGCUUAGAACCGGGACUUCAACGUCGCUUUGAGCGUCAUGGAGCAUUUGAGAUGUUCCAGGUGUUGAAGUUUAUCUUUCAGAAGAACGCCUGGAUCGAGAGGUAUGAGACCUCCGAUAAAUUCUAUGCUUGCAAGAUGGAGGAAAACUCGUCUGUCAGUGAACAUGUGCUCAAAAUGUCUGGGUACUCAAACCGUCUAGCUGAGCAGGGGAUUGAACUCCCGCAAGAGGCUAUCACUGACAGAAUCCUUCAAUCACUGCCACCAAGCUACAAAGGCUUUGUGUUGAACUACAACAUGCAAGGGAUGAACAAGUCACCCGGCGAGUUGUUUGCGAUGUUGAAAGUCGCAGAGUCUGAACUCCGUAAAGAGCAUCAAGUGUUGAUGGUGAAUAAGACCACUAGUUUCAAGAGAAACGGCAAAGGCAAGAAGGGUAAUUCAAAGAAGAGACUUGCCGGUAAACGAGAUUGAAAUAGGUAUGCGGAUACUGACGAUCGAAUCUCGGGCAAGUAACAUACCGAAGGACAAAGGGAAUGACAUACGGGAUUAUANNNNNNNNNNNNNNNNNNNNNNNNNNNNNNNNNNNNNNNNNNNNNNNNNNNNNNNNNNNNNNNNNNNNNNNNNNNNNNNNNNNNNNNNNNNNNNNNNNNNUGUGUGUGUGUGUGUGUGCACACUUGUGAUAGUGCAAGUGAUGUGUGUAUGUGUUUAUGUGGCUUAGUUGAAAAGUGGCUCAUGUGAUCUUGCUAGUGUGUUUGGGUGUGUAGUACUUGCAAAGUAUGUGCAUUGUGGAAUAGGUGAGAUGUGUGUGUUGAGGUGAUGUGUGUGUAAGUAGUGCACACAUAUGUGGUACCUAGCAGGAGUGUAUGUAUGUGUGGAUCCAUGUUUACUUGCAUAGCAGUUGUUCCUUCAUGUUGUGCUUGAGAUUAAGUGCUUGUGAUGAGGGUAUUGUGAUGAUAUGUGUGUGGUGAUAACAGCCCCAUUUUCAACACUUGUGCACCUCCUCAUGUUCAUAUGAGAGAGGACAUGAUGUGUGUGUGUGUGAGGGUGAUCUAGUGAAAGUUGUGCUAGUGGUGUUGANNNNNNNNNNGCAACACUUGUGCACCUCCUCAUGUUGAUAUGAGAGAGGGCAUGAUGUGUGUGUGUGAGGGUGAUCUAGUGAAAGUUGUGCUAGUGGUGUUGAUAUGCAUAACACAUACAUGGGGUUCAAACCCCCAUGUCACUUUUUCAUUGUGCACAUGAGCUCAACCUUUGUAGUUGUUGACUUAGUAGGAACUACAUGAAAUGAUGCCCAUUCCCUAGGCAUGAUUUGGAGUAGUUUCCUCUCCCUUAUUUUGUGGUCACUUGUUCCAAGUAAGUGCCCACAUAUUAUAUAUGAUUUUGGGGUAGAAUCUCCCAAGGAAUCCAGUGGUGAAGUUAGUUUUUCCAUUACGAUACUUUAUGGAGUUGACAUAUUCAGAUUUGUUGCAAGUUUGAUCUUUGAUUCCAUGGAAUAGGUGGAGCCCAAGGGCANNNNNNNNNNGCCAUUAGGAUAAUUUCUGGAGUUGACAUAUUCAGAUUUAUUGCAAGUUUGAUCUUUGAUUCCAUGGAAUAGGUGGAGCCCAAGGGCAUGAGUUUUUGUGUGAUAGUAGUAGGGUUUUGCUCUACACCAUAGUGGUGUCAUAUAUCACUUGGUGUUACUUGUGUGCAAACUAUGCCUAGACAAAGUGGGCAUGUGGUUGAAAAUUCCAGUUUAGUGAAAUCUGGAAUUUCACUAAGUCUGGGAUUCUGGAAACAUUUUCUUCUCUUAUAGAUGAGGAUGUGCUGGUCAUUGUGUUGAGAUCUAGCCUUAGUUCAGUGCUAGGAUUUUGGACCUGAUAUGUUUUUUAAGUUCCCUGUCAAAUUUCAAAUCAUUUGGAGUCUAGUAGGUUGUGUUUUGAUUGCUGUCAAAAAGCUUCAGAACAAAGACAGNNNNNNNNNNAUAGCCUUAGUUCAGUGCUAGGAUUUUGGACCUGAUAUGUUUGUGAUGCUUCCUGUCAAAUUUCAAAUCAUUUCGAGUCCAGUAGGUUGUGUUUUGAUUGCUGUCAAAAAGCUUCAGAACAAAGACAGAAAUUCAGGUGCAGGAAUUUUCACCAAGUCCCUGAGAUCUGAUGGUUUUGGGGAAGUUUGUGGCCUUGUAUAUUAAUUCCUUUUGCUGUGAUUCUUGCUGGUGCUUGUAGGGUUCUUAGUGGGCUACAGCCACAUAUAUUAUUUGACAUAUUUGGUGGCCUGUAGCUAUGUUGCAUGUAGCUCACAAAGUGCUAAGAUGCAGUUUAUGGCAGAUUAUGUAGUUUUGUCAUUUCUAUGAUUGUGUGUGCUUAGUGGAUGUGGUGGUGCUCUUACUUGCUCCAAUCCAUUCAUGUGGGAGUGGUACAUGUCUUGGCAACCUGNNNNNNNNNNUAUGCAGUUUAUGGCAGAUUAUGUAGUUUUGUCAUUUUGAUGAUUGUGUGUGCUUAGUGGAUGUGGUGGUGCUCUUCCUUGCUCCAAUCCAUUCAUGUGGGAGUGGUACAUGUCUUGGCAACCUGGGAAUACCAGAUUUGUGCCAAUUGUGAGUGUGGUGUUGAUUCUUACACGUAGAGCUUCAUAUCUUGUUUCGUUGAUUCCCGUUGAACCGUAGCUCCGUUCGCAAUGUUCUUUAUAUGUUUUUGCAUAGUUUUCACGAGACGCAUCUCUUCAUGCCAUUCUCAUGCAUGUAAAAAUAUCCUAGUUUACAGUUCUGUCCAGAAACUUAUAGUAGUUCUUUUGCUUGUGCUAGUGAUAGAAAUAGUGAUGCAUGCUCAUUUUUCANNNNNNNNNNACAAUGUUCUUUAUAUGUUUUUGCAUCGUUUUCACGAGACGCAUCUCUUCAUGCCAUUCUCAUGCAUGUCGAAAUAGCCUAGUGUAAAGUUCUGUCCAGAAACUUAUAGUAGUUCCUUUUGCUUGUGCUAGUGAUAGAAAUAGUGAUGCAUGCUCAUUUUUCAUCUCAUGCAUCAUGUGAUUGUUGCAUCUUGUNNNNNNNNNNNNNNNNNNNNNNNNNNNNNNNNNNNNNNNNNNNNNNNNNNNNNNNNNNNNNNNNNNNNNNNNNNNNNNNNNNNNNNNNNNNNNNNNNNNNGAACAACAUUCGGUAACCAACCAUAUAACUCAAAUACGCAUAAAACAAUGUCGAACCUUAAGUGUGCAGACCCUACGGGUUCAGGAACUAUGUAGACAUCACCCGAGAGACUCCUCGGUCAAUAUCCAAUAGCGGGACCUGGAUGCCCAUAUUGGAUCCUACAUAUUCUACGAAGAUUUUAUCGUUUGAACAUCAGUGCCAAGGAUUCAUAUAAUCCCGUAUGUCAUUCCCUUUGUCCUUCGGUAUGUUACUUGCCCGAGAUUCGAUCAUCAGUAUCCGCAUACCUAUUUCAAUCUCAUUUGCCGGCAAGUCUCUUUACUCGUUCCGUAAUACAAGAUCCGCAACUUACACUAAGUCACAUUACUUGCAAGGCUUGUGUAUGAUGUUGUAUUACCGAGUGGGCCCCGAGAUACCUCUCCGUCACACGGAGUGACAAAUCCCAGUCUCGAUCCAUACUAACUCAACUAACACCUUCGGAGAUACCUGUAGAGCAUCUUUAUAGUCACCCAGUUACNNNNNNNNNNNNNNNNNNNNNNNNNNNNNNNNNNNNNNNNNNNNNNNNNNNNNNNNNNNNNNNNNNNNNNNNNNNNNNNNNNNNNNNNNNNNNNNNNNNNGUAGACCGAUAAUUUCUGCAUCUACUACUAUUACUCCACACGUCGACCGCUAUCCAGCAUGCAUCUAGUGUUUUGAGUUCAUGACGAACAGAGUAACGCCUUAAGAAAGAUGACAUGAUGUAGAGGGAUAAUCUCAAACCAAUGAUGAAAACCCCAUCUUUUUACCCUUGAUGGCAACAACACGAUACGUGCCUCGCUACCCCUUCUAUCACUUGGUGAGGUCACCGCACGGUAUGAACCCAAAACCAAGCAAUUCUCCCAUUGCAAGAAUCAUAGAUCUAGUUGGCCAAACAAAACCCACAACUCGAAGUGAAUUACAAGGAUAUGCAAUCAUGCAUAAGAGAGAUCAGAAGAAACUCAAAUAAGAUUCAUAGAUAAUCUGAUCAUAAAUCCACAAUUCAUCGGAUCUCGACAAACACACCGCAAAAGAAGAUUACAUCGGAUAGAUCUCCAUGAAGAUCAUGGAGAACUUUGUAUUGAAGAUCCAAGAGAGAGAAGAAGCCAUCUAGCUACUAGCUAUGGACCCGUAGGUCUGUGGUGAACUACUCACGCAUCAUCGGAGAGGUCAUGGUGUUGAUGAAGAAGCCCUCCGUAUCCGAAUCCCCCCUCGGUAGGGCACCAGAAUGUGCCCCAGAUGGGAUCUUGCGGAGACAGAAGCUUGCGGCGGCGGAAAAGUACUUUUGAUGAUCUCCUGAUUUUUUCUGGGAUUUUAGGUAAUUUAUAGGCGAAAGACCUAGGGAAGAGGUGGCCCAGGGAGCCCACAAGCCUGGGAGGCGCGGGCCCCCCUGGCCGCGGCUAGGGGGCUUGUGGGGUCCCUGCUGCCCCCCUGCCCAGAUUCUCAGGCUUCUUGAUCUUCUUAUAUUUCGGAAAAAAUCUUUUUGGCAGUUUCGUUCCGUUUGGACUCCGUUUAAAAUCCUCCUCUGAAAAGGGUCAAAAACAUGGAAAAAACAGGAACUGGCACUUGUCACUGAGUUAAUAAGUUAGUCCCAAAAAAUAUAUAAAAGGCAUACAAAACAUCCAAAGUUUGACAAGAUAAUAGCAUGAAACCAUCAAAAAUUAUAGAUACGUUGGAGAUGUAUUAACCUACGAGGUUUGUAGUAACUUGAUCCGAAGCUCUAAUGAUCACUAUCAUCAGCUUCCACUUCAAUUGGUGUAGGCGUCACAGGAACAACUUCCUGCGCCCUGCUACACACUGGUUGAAGUGACGGUUCAAUAACCUCAUCAAGUUCCACCAGUCUCCCACCCAAUUCUUUGGAGAGAAACCUUUCCUCGAGAAAGGAUCCGUUUCUAGAAACAAACACUUUGCUUCCGGAUCUGAGAUAGGAGAUGUAUCCAACUGUUUUGGAUAUCCUAUGAAGAUGCAUUUAUCCGCUUUGGGAUCGAGCUUAUUAGACUGAAACCUUUUCACAUAAGCAUCGCAACCCCAAACUUUCAAGAAACGACAGCUUAGGUUUCUCUAAACCAUAGUCUAUGGCGUGUCAUCUCAACGGAAGUAUGCGGUGCCCUAUUUAAAGUGAAUGUGGUUGUCUCUAAUGCAUAACCCAUAAACGAUAGUGGUAAUUCGAUAAGAGACAUCAUAGUAUGCACCAUAUCAUAAUAGGGUGUGGCUAUGACGUUCACACACAUCAUCACACUAUGGUGUUCCAGGUGGCAUGAACUGCGAAACAAUUUUCACAUUGUCUUAACUGCGUACCAAAAACUCGCAACUCAGAUAUUCAUCUCUAUGAUCAUAUCGUAGACAGUUUAUCCACUUGUCACAACGAUCUUCACUCUGAAAUAGCUUUGAACUUUUCAAUAUUUCAGACUUGUGAUUCAUCAAGUAAAUACUCGUGUAUCUACUCAAAUCGUCAGUGAAGUAAGAACAUAACGAUAUCCACUGCGUGCCUCAGCACUCAUUGGACUGCACACAUCAAAAAUGUAUUACUCCCAACAAGUUACUCUCUUGUUUCAUGUAGCAUGAUCUGCAUGUCUCAAGUGAUUCAAAAUCAAGUGAGCCCAAACGGUCCAUCCGCAUGGAGUUUCUUCAUGCGUUUAUACCAACAAGUAUGGUUUGCAUGUUUCAAUCGUUUCAAAAAAUGAGUGAGUACAAAGAUCCAUCAGCAUGGAGCUUCUUCAUGCAUUUUAUACCAACAUGACUCAAGUGGCAGUGCUACAACUAAGUGGUACUAUCAUUAUAACUUUGUAUCUUUUGGCACCAAUAUUAUGAACAUGUGUAACACUAUGAUCGAGAUUCAAUAAACCAUUGAGGGUAAUUAUUCAAGCAAAUAGAAUAACUAUUAUUCUCUUUAAUUGAAUAAUUGUAUUGCAAUGAACACGAUCCAAUCAUGUUCAUGAUUAACGCAAUCACCAAAUAACAAUUAUUUAAGUUUUACCACCAAUCUGGAUGAUAGAGGGAGCGUGCGAUGUUUGAUCACAUCAACCUUGGAAACACUUCCAACACGUAUUGUCACCUCGCCUUUAGCUAGUCUCCGUUUAUACCGUAGCUUUCAUUUCGAGUUACUAAUCACUUAGCAACCGAACCGGUAUCGAAUACCCUCGUGCUACUAGGAGUAAAGUACACAUCAAUAUCAUGCAUAUCAAAUAUACUUCUGUCGACUUUGCCAGCCUUCUUAUCUACCAAGUAUCUAGGGUAGCUCCGCCUCACUGACCGUUCCCCUCAUAACAGAAGCACUCAGUCUCGGGUUUGGGUUCAAUUUUGGGUUUCUUCAUUAGAGCAGCAACUUGUUUGCCGUUUCAUGAAGUAUCCCUUCAAGCCCUUACCCUUCUUGAAACUAGUGGUUUUACUAAGCAUCAACAAUUGAUGCUCCUUCUUGAUUUCUACUUUCACAGUGUCAAACAUUGCAAAUCACUCAAGGAUCAUCAUAUCUAUCCUUGAUUUGUUUAUAGUUCAUCACGAAGCUCUAGCAGCUUAGUCGCAGUGACUUUGGAGAACCAUCACUAUCUCAUCUGGAAGAUUAACUCCCACUUGAUUCAAGCGAUUGUUGUACUGAGACAAUCUGAGAACAUGCUCAACGAUUUGAGCUUUUCUCCUUUACUUUGUAGGCAAAGAAUCUUGUCGGAGGUCUUAUAUCUCUCAACAAGGGCACGAGCAUGAAAUCUCAAUUUCAUCUCUUUGAACAUCUCUUAUGUUCUGCGAUGUUUUCAAAACGUCUUCAGUGCCUUGCUUCUAAGCCAUUAAGUAUUGCGCACUGAACUAUUAUGUAGUCAUCAAAGACGUGUAUGUCAGAUGUUUGCAGCAUCCACAAACAACACCUGAGGUGCAGCACACCAAGUGGUGCAUUAAGGACAUAAGACUUCUGCGCAACAAUGAGGACAAUACUCAGUUUUACGGACUGAGUCCGCAAAGUUGCUACUAUCAACUUUGAACUAAAUUUUCUCUAGGAACAUAUAAAAACAGUAGAGCUAUAGCGCAAGCUACAUCGUAAUUUGCAAAUACCAUUGGACUAUGUUCAUGAUAAUUAGUUCAAUUAAUCAUAUUACUUAAGAACUCCCACUCAAAAAGUACAUCUCUCUAGUCAUUUGAGUGGUACAUGAUCCGAAUCCACUAUCUCAAGUCCGAUCAUCACGUGAGUCGAGAAUAGUUUCAGUGGCAAGCAUCUCUAUGCUAAUCAUAUCAACUAUACGAUUCAUGCUCGACCUUUCGGUCUCUUGUGUUCCGGGGCCAUGUCUGCACAUGCUAGGCUCGUCAAGUUUUACCCGAGUGUUCCGCGUGUGCAACUGUUUUGCACCCGUUGUAUGUGAACGUUGAGUCUAUCACACCCGAUCAUCACGUGGUGUCUCGAAUCAACAAACUGUAGCAACGGUGCAGAGUCGGGGAGAACACAAUUUCGUCUUGAAAUUUUAGUGAGAGAUCACCACAUAAUGCUAUCGUCGUUCUAAGCAAAAUAAGGUGCAUAAAAGGAUUAACAUCACAUGCAAUUCAUAAGUGAAUGAUAUGGCCAUCAUCACGUGCUUCUUUAUCUCCAUCACCAAAGCAUCGACAUGAUCUUCUUGUCACCGGUGCCACACCAUGAUCUCCAUCAACGUGUCGCCAUCGGGGUUGUCGUGCUACUUAUGCUAUUACUACUAAAGCUACGUCCUAGCAAUAUACUAAACGCAUCUGCAAACACAAACGUUAGUUUAAAGACAACCCUAUGGCUCCUGCGGGUUGCCGUACCAUCGACGUGCAAGUCGAUAUUAACUAUUACAACAUGAUCAUCUCAUACAUCCAAUAUAUCACAUCACGUCAUUGGCCAUAUCAUAUCACAAGCAUAUCCUUCGAAAACAAGUUAGACGUCCUCUAAUUGUUGUUGAAUGUUUUACGUGGUUUCAAUGGGUAUCUAGUAGAUCGCAUCUUACUUACGCAAAAACCACAACGCAGAUGUGCAAAUUGCUAUUUAUCCUCUCCAGGGACCGCCUCGGUCAAAACCAAUUCAACUAAAGUUGAAGAAACCGACACCCGCCAGUCAUCUUUAUGCAACGAGGUUGCAUGUCAAUCGAUGAAACUAGUCUUUUGUAAGCAUACGAAUAAUGUCGGUCCGGGCCGCUUCAAUCCAAAAAUACCGCCAAAUUGAGAAAAGACUCAGGAGGGCAGCAAAUCGAACAUCACCGUCCAGAAAACCCUUUGUGUUCUACUCGAGAUUACAUCUACGCAUGAACCUAGCUCAUGAUGCCUAUGUUGGGGAACGUCGCAUGGGAAACAAAAAAUUUCCUACGCGCACGAAGACCUACCGUGGUGAUGUCCAUCUACGAGAGGAGAUUUGGAUCUACGUACCCUUAAAGAUCGCACAGCAGGAAGCGUUAAGAAACGCGGUUGAUGUAGUGGAACGUCCUCACGUCCCUCGAUCCGCCCCNNNNNNNNNNUCCGUCCCACGAUCCGCUCCGAUCUAGUGCCGAACGGACGGCACCUCCAUGUUCAGCACACGUACAGCUCGACGAUGAUCUCGGCCUUCUUGAUCCAGAAAGUAAGACGAAGAAGUAGAUGAGUUCUCCGGCAGCGUGAAGGCGCUUCGGUGGUGGUUGCUACGACAACAAAAGUUCUUCCCCGGCAAUGGCGCCAGAAAUCCUUCUUGCUACUUCUCAAACAACAACGCCAAAAUUGACACGUUGACGGAGACUUGCUUGCGUCGGUUUUUGCCUUGAAGAGGAAAGGGUGAUGCAGCACAGGAGCAGUAAGUAUUUCCCUCAGUUUGAGAACCAAGGUAUCAAUCCAGUAGGAGAAUCUCGUCAAGUCCAGAGUACCUCCACAAACAUAAAGAUCUUGCACCCAAUGCUAUAAAGGGGUUGUCAAUCCCUUCAAGAUUGAUUGCAAAGUGAGAUUUGAAGGCGGAAAGUGCAACGAAGUAAAAUUGUAAGGCUAAAAAUAUGGUGUGGAGUAGACCCCGGGGCCAUAGUGUUCACUAGAGGCUUCUCUCAAAAUAGCAAAUAUUACAGUGGGUGAACAAAUUACUGUCGAGAAAUUGAUAGAACCGCGCAAAGUCAUGACGAUAUCUAAGGCAAUGAUCAUACAUAUAGGCAUCACGUCCGAGACAACUAGACCGAUACUUUCUGCAUCUACUACUAUUACUCCACACAUCGACCGCUAUCCAGCAUGCAUCUAGUGUAUUGAGUUCAUGACGAACAGAGUAACGCCUUAAGCAAGAUGACAUGAUGUAGAGGGAUAAUCUCAAACCAAUGAUGAGAACCCCAUCUUUUUACCCUCGAUGGCAACAACACGAUGCGUGCCUCGCUACCCCUUCUGUCACUGGGUGAGGUCACCACACGGUAUGAACCCAAAACCAAGCACUUCUCCCAUUGCAAGAAUCAUCGAUCUAGUUGGCCAAACAAAACCCACAACUCGAAGAGAAUUACAAGGAUAUGAAAUCAUGCAUAAGAGAGAUCGGAAGAAACUCAAAUAAGACUCAUAGAUAAUCUGAUCAUAAAUCCACAAUUGAUCGAAUGUCGACAAACACACCGCAAAAGAAGAUUACAUCGGAUAGAUCUCCAUGANNNNNNNNNNNNNNNNNNNNNNNNNNNNNNNNNNNNNNNNNNNNNNNNNNNNNNNNNNNNNNNNNNNNNNNNNNNNNNNNNNNNNNNNNNNNNNNNNNNNNNNNNNNNNNNNNNNNNNNNNNNNNNNNNNNNNNNNNNNNNNNNNAUACUAGCUAUGGACCCGUAGGUCUAUGGUGAACUACUCACGCAUCAUCGGAGAGGUCAUGGUGUUGCUGAAGAAGCCCUCUGUAUCCGAAUCCCCCCUCCGACAGGGCACCGGAACGUGCCCCAGAUGGGAUCUUGUAGAGACAGAAGCUUGCGGCGGCGGAAAAGUACUUUCGAUGAUCUCCUGAUUUUUUUCUGGGAUUUUAGGGAAUUUAUAGGCGAAAGUCCUAGGGCAGAGCUGGCCCAAGGAGCCCACAAGCCUGGGAGGCGCGGGCCCCCUGGUCGCGGCUAGGGGGCUUGUGGGGUCCCUGCAGCCCCCCUGCCCUGAUUCUCAGGUUUCCCGAUCUUCUUCUGUUUCAGAAAAAAUCUUUUUGACAGUUUCAUUCCGUUUGGACUCCGUUUAAAAUCCUCCUUUGAAAGGGGUCAAAAACAUGGGGAAAUAGGAACUGGCACUGAGUUAAUAAGUUAGUCCCAAAAAGUAUAUAAAAGGCAUGCAAAACAUCCAAAGUUUGACAAGAUAAUAGCAUGAAACCAUAAAAAUUAUAGAUACAUUGGAUACGUAUCAAGCAUCCCCAAGCUUAACUCCUGCUCGUCCUAAAGUAGGGAAGUGAUAAAGAAUUAAAUUUUGAUGUGGAAUGCUACCUAGCAUAGUUGUCCUUUGCAACUUCUUUCAUGUGACAUGAGUGUUCAGAUCCGUGAGAUUGAAAACAAUAGUUUGCUAUUGACAUGAAAACAAUAAUACUUCAAGCAAACUAGCAAGGUAAUCAUGAACUUUAAAAAUAACAAGGCCAAGGAAAGUUAUCCCUACAAAAUUAUAUAGUCUGGCUAUGCUCCAUCAUCCUCACACAACUAAUGUAAAUCAUGCACAACCCCGGUAUUGGCCAAGAAAUAGUUUUCGCACUCUUACUUUCUCAAACUUUUUAUAACUAUCAUGCAAUACAUGAGCGUGAGCCAUGGAUAUAGCACUAUAAUUGGAAUAGAGUGUGGUGGUGGUUGUGAGACAAAAAGGAGAAGAUGGUCACAUUGACUCUGCGUAUCAAAGGGCUAUGGAGAUACCCAUUAAUAGAUAUCAAUGUGAAUGAGUAGGGAUUGCCAUACAAAGGAUGCACUAGAGCUAUAAGUAUGUGAAAGCUCAAAAGGAAAACUAGUGGGUGUGCAUCCAACUUGCUUUCUCACGAAGACCUAGGGCAAUUUUGAGGAAACCCAUCAUUGGAAUAUACAAGCCAAGUUAUAUAGUGAAGAUUCCAACUAGCAUAUGGUGGUGACGAAACGAGAGGCUCUCAAUCAUGAAGAACAUGGUGCUAUUAUGAAGCACAAGUGUGGAAAAAGAUAGUAGCAUUGUCCCUUCUCUCUUUUCUCUCUUCUUCUUUUUUAUUUGGGCUCUUAGGCCUCUUUUUCUCUUUUUUUGGGCUCUUUGGCCUCUUUUUUUAUUUUAUUUCCUCACAUGGGACAAUGCUCUAAUAAUGAUGAUCAUCACACUUUUAUUUACUCACAGCUCAAAGCUUAGAAAUGACUUCUAUAGGAAAUGCCUCCGGCAGUGUACCGGGAUGUGCAACGAUCUAGCUUGGCGUAUGACGUUGAAACAUAUCGCUAGCUAUCUUGCGAUCAUGCAAUGGAAAUAUGAGAGUGACGGCACAAGUCAUGAGACGGAACGGUGGGAGUUGCAUGUCAAUAUAUCUCGGAAUGGCUACGAAAAUGCCAUAGUAGGUAGAUAUGGUGGUUGUUUUGAGGAAGGCAUUUGGUGGGUUUGUGUACCGGCGAGAAUUGCACGGCACUAGAGAGGCUAGCAAUGGUGAAAGGUGGAAGUGCAUCUAUACCAUGGACUCACAUUAGUCAUGAAGAACUCACAUACAUGUUGCGAAAUUUUUUAUUAGUAAUCGAAACAAAGUGCUAAACGCAUACUCCUAGGGGAAGGGUUGGUAGGUGUUAACCAUCGCACGAACCCGACCUCAACACAAAGGAUGACAAUCAAUAGAUCAAUUAUGCUUCGACUUCCUAACAUAGCGGUUCACCAUACGUGCAUGCUACGGGAAUCACUAACUUUAACACAAGUAUUUCUAGAUUCACAAUACCCUACUAACAUAACUCUUAAUAUUACCAAAUCCACGCCUCCAAACUAAUUGAGAGGAAUCAAAACUUCUCUUUCUACUCAAUGCACAUGAAUAUGGAGGUUUUUGUAUCCUCUUUGGGUACCUAUCACCUUUGGGACUACUUUCAUAGCAUAAGCCAACUACCAAAUCACGCACCGCCGUGCUCUAACAGAUCUAAGUGAAGCACAUAUAGCAAAAUUGUCUAGCUGAAAAGAUAUAAGUGAAGCACAAUGAGCAUUCUAGCAAAAUCACGGUGAGUUCAUGUCUAUCUCUAAAGGUGUGCAUCAAGGAUGAUUGUGACACAACAAAAAGAAAAUAAUCCUAAGAUACAAGACACUCCAAGCAAAACACAUAUCAUGUGGUGAAUAAAAAUAUAGCUCCAAGUAAUGUUACCGAUGGAUUGAAGACGAAAGAGGGGAUGCCUUCCCGGGGCAUNNNNNNNNNNNNNNNNNNNNNNNNNNNNNNNNNNNNNNNNNNNNNNNNNNNNNNNNNNNNNNNNNNNNNNNNNNNNNNNNNNNNNNNNNNNNNNNNNNNNGGAUGCCUUUGCGGCCUGUGUUCGUUUAUGAUGGACUAGUUGGAGCACCCCUGCAGGGUUUAAUCUUUCAGAAAGCCGUGCCCACGGUUAUGUGGCAACUUGGAAUAUUUUGUUAACAUCCGGUAUUAGAGAACUUGAACAUAAGCUAAUAAAAUUGCCAACUGUGUGCGUAUCCGUGUCUGUCCCCUCGAAGAUCCCUCUUCGAUCGGGAACACGGUGGGGUUAUGAAUGCCGUAGGUAGGUGGUCAGGAUCACUUAGUGAUCAAGUAUUCCCGACCGCUAGUGUAGACCACCUUCACAAUUACUUCGCGUAAGUUAGCCACUUAAUCAAGCUUAGGAUGCUGCAGCCUUAUACACUUCACCCUUACCCUACCUAAUAACAUGACUAGUUCUGGCACCAAGGUCUUAGAUUGCUGAGUCCCCGUGGCUCACGGAUUCCUCCGAAACUCCCAGCAGGUACAGGUACCCCAGAUAUAGAUGAUCCCGACGGCACCCAGCUGGCGUGGCAGUACGACGAGGAGACAGACCGCCUCUACGUGACCUAUCCAGGGGACUGAGGCGUGGUCGUGAUCGUGGGCCUGCAGGCAGGGUAGCAUAGCAUUUCCAUGUUUUGUAGUCCGUAGCGGAACUACNNNNNNNNNNNNNNNNNNNNNNNNNNNNNNNNNNNNNNNNNNNNNNNNNNNNNNNNNNNNNNNNNNNNNNNNNNNNNNNNNNNNNNNNNNNNNNNNNNNNAAAAAAAAGAGCAGGUGGGAAAAGGGGGAAGGACUCCUCCUUCCAAACCUAAUUGGACUCGGUUUGGAAGGGGAGGGUUGCCCCCCUUGGCUCGGCCGCCCCCUUGGGAGUCCUUGGACCCCAAGGCAAGGCUCCCCCUCCUCCCCCUAUAUAUACGCAGGUUUUAGGGCUGAUUUGAGACAACUUUGCCACGACAGCCCGACCACAUAUCUCCACGGUUUCACCUCUAGAUCGCGUUUCUGCGGAGCUCGGGCGGAGCCCUGUGAGAUAAGAUCACCACCAACCUCCGUAGCUCCGUCACGCUGGCGGAGAACUCAUCUACCUCUCCAUCACUCUUGCUGGAUCNNNNNNNNNNAGUUUCACCUCUAGAUCGCGUUUCUGCGGAGCUCGGGCGGAGCCCUGCUGAGAUAAGAUCACCACCAACCUCCGGAGCGCCAUCACGCUGGCGGAGAACUCAUCUACCUCUCCAUCACUCUUGCUGGAUCAAGAAGGCCGAGAUCAUCGUCGAGCUGUACGUGUGCUGAACGCGGAGGUGCCGUCCGUUCGGCACUAGAUCGUGGGACUGAUCGCGGGACGGUUCGCGGGGCGGAUCGAGGGACAUGAGGACGUUCCACUACAUCAACUGUGUUCACUAAUGCUUCUGCUGUGCGGUCUACAAGGGUACCUAGAUCGAACAUCCCCUCUCGUAGAUGGACAUCACCAUGAUAGGUCUUCGUGCGCGUAGGAAAUUUUUUGUUUCCCACGCGACGUUCCCCAACAGUGGCACCAUGAGCUAGGUUCAUGCGUAGAUGUCUUCUCGAGUAGAACACAAAAGUUUUUGUGGGCGGUGAUGUGCGUUUUGCUGCCCUCCUUAGUCUUUUCUUGAUUCCGCGGUAUUGUUGGAUUGAAGCGGCUUGGACCGACAUUACUCGUACGCUUACGAGAGACUGGUUUCAUCGUUACGAGUAACCCCCUUUGCUCAAAGAUGACUGGCAAGUGACGGUUUCUCCAACUUUAGUUGAAUCNNNNNNNNNNNNNNNNNNNNNNNNNNNNNNNNNNNNNNNNNNNNNNNNNNNNNNNNNNNNNNNNNNNNNNNNNNNNNNNNNNNNNNNNNNNNNNNNNNNNUGGGAUCUUGUAUUACGGAACGAGUAAAGAGACUUGCUGGUAAACGAGAUUGAAAUAGGUAUGCGGAUACUGACGAUUGAAUCUCGGGCAAGUAACGUACCGAAGGACAAAGGGAAUGACAUACGGGAUUAUACGAAUCCUUGGCACUGAGGUUCAAACGAUAAGACCUUCGUAGAAUAUGUAGGAUCCAAUAUGGGCAUCCAGGUCCCGCUGUUGGAUAUUGACCGAGGAGUCUCUCGGGUCAUGUCUACAUAGUUCUCGNNNNNNNNNNNNNNNNNNNNNNNNNNNNNNNNNNNNNNNNNNNNNNNNNNNNNNNNNNNNNNNNNNNNNNNNNNNNNNNNNNNNNNUGGGUCAUGUCUACAUAGUUCUCGAACCCGCAGGGUCUACACACUUAAGGUUCGACGUUGUUUUAUGCGUAUUAGAGUUAUAUGGUUGGUUACCGAAUGUUGUUCGGAGUCCCGGAUGAGAUCACGGACGUCACGAGGGUUUCCGGAAUGGUCCGGAAACGAAGAUUGAUAUAUAGGAUGACCUCAUUUGAUUACCGGAAGGUUUUCGGAGUAACCGGGAAUGUACCGGGAAUGACGAAUGGGUUCCGAAGUUCACCGGGGGGGCAACCCACCCCGGGGAAGCCCAUAGGCCUUGAGGGAGGCACACCAGCCCUUAGUGGGCUGGUGGGACAGCCCAAAAGAGCCCUAUGCGCCAUAGAGAUAAAAAUCAAAGAGAAAGAAAAAAAAAGGGAGGUGGGAAGGAAGGGAAGGACUCCCUCCCACCAAACCAAGUCCAACUCGGUUUCGGGGGGGAGUCUUCCCCCCUUGGACUCGGCCGACCCCCUUGGGGCUCCUUGAGCCCCAAGGCAAGGUCCCCUCCCUCCCACCUAUAUAUACGGAGGUUUUAGGGCUGAUUUGAGACGACUUUUCCACGGCAGCCCGACCACAUACCUCCACGGUUUUUCCUCUAGAUCGCGUUUCUGCGGANNNNNNNNNNGGCGGAGCCCUGCUGAGACAAGAUCAUCACCAACCUCCGGAGCGCCGUCACGCUGCCGGAGAACUCUUCUACCUCUCUGUCUCUCUUGCUGGACCAAGAAGGCCGAGAUCAUCGUCGAGCUGUACGUGUGCUGAACGCGGAGGUGCCGUCCGUUCGGUACUAGAUCGUGGGACUGAUCGCGGGAUUGUUCGCGGGGCGGAUCGAGGGACGUGAGGACGUUCCACUACAUCAANNNNNNNNNNNNNNNNNNNNNNNNNNNNNNNNNNNNNNNNNNNNNNNNNNNNNNNNNNNNNNNNNNNNNNNNNNNNNNNNNNNNNNNNNNNNNNNNNNNNCGGACCGUCGCCGUUGCACGUCGAACGACGCGGAACGCCGCCGCUCGCUCCGUCCACCGGUCGCCUCCCUCCGUCCUCGGAACCAGGCGCCGCCGCCGUCCUCCGAACCCGACCGAGGCCGGCGCCGGCCGGCGCCCACUCGACCCCCGAGAACCACGUCCAGGGUCGACCUCCGAGGCGCCACUUGGCCGCGGGCAGGCUGCGCUGGCUCCGGGCUCCGGGCGCGGGGGCGGGCGAGCGGCUGCUAGGCGGAGGACGAAGAGGAGGAGGAGGAAGACUUGACGAGGGCGGAGAGCCAGACGACGACGACGUUGAUGGAGAUGGUCACGUACGGCCUAGCGUCCACGGAGAAGUUGAAGCUGAAGUAGGACGCUCCCGGCGCCGAGGAAGAUGCCGCCAUCUCCAUGUCCAUGGUCUCUGUCUGUGGUAUGCCUGUCUCCUCUGCUCUUGCUGCCUUGGUGCUUCUUGCUUGCCUCUGGGAUGAGAGUUGUCGCUGGUCGCUGCGUGCUGGAUGCUAUUUGCAGAGCACGAAGGCUUGGCAUAUAUAGCUUGGUAGCCUCGCGAUAAGGCGCGAAACAAGUUGGAAGCGGGAUCGKACCCGUUGCGACUUGGGAAGAAGGAAAGCCGGGAGCGAAGAAGGUUCCCGGAAGCGGGGAGGCGUGGUGGAAACGCCGGACCAGACCGAGCGGUCGCCGGUUCGUGGCUUGUGAAAGUGAUGGAGCUGUCGUGCGCGCGCGCGCGGGGGUGUUUUUCAGCGGGUUUCGAGGGAGCUUCGCGGCGUGGAAACAUGCGCACCGGCGACCUGACCGUCCUGCUUUCUCGUGUUCUCGGUUGGGGUUGGCGUUGGAAUUCCACGCAGCCUCUCUCUCUCCUAUUUUAGUGGGCACGUCGCUCUCGUUUCGUCUGUGGUGCAGCCGCUCGUCUGCUACUCUUUCCGUUGUCGGGUUUCCUCCUGGUUGAUUUUCUUUUUGCGACUGAAUUCUGAUUUGAUUUUGAUAGAUAUAUGUGCGGUGGUGGACUGGUCGCAGGGAGCUGGGGGUGGUAUACGGCGACCGGUGUGAAGGAAGGUUGGUGAGUUGGCUGGCGAGCGCUUGACCAGAUUUCGUGGUGGACUCGACCAAACCAAACCAAACAGUGGCGUAGGUCUUUGCGCCAGCGGGCGUGAGGGAAUGCUUGCUCGUGCCCCCACCACCGGGUCGUCUCCGAUGACUGAGGUGUUUACACGCGACAGAGGUGCUAAUUAUGUGUGCUGCCGGCUGCAUAUAGAUCGAUAUACGCUAAAUGGAAACAUGACAACAAAACGUACGUUUGCCCGCACAAACCUUCCUGGACGGCAUGUUUGUCUCACGCUACUUUUCAUCCUUUGUUUUACAAAUUUGAAAUCUGAAGCUACAUUUCUUUUAAACACGAUAUAGAUGCAAGAGCUCAUAUAUAAGAGCAACUCUAGCAUACCCCGCAUCCCGUCGGCCCGUAAAACGCGUUUGCAGGUCGCGCAAAACAGCUUUUGCAGGCUGGCGUGGGCUGGCACAGAUGCGGACCCACCAAACGGAUCCGUAAAAAAAUAUAGUCGCGAAAUAUUCCUUUUUACGGGUCGGCUUUGCGGGAUCUGCUCUUUGCACCGCUGCUUCCCACGUAUCAUUAGCCCGCAAAUAUCAAAUACUCCCUCUGUAAGUUAAUAUAAGAGCAUUUAGACUACUAAAGUAGUGUUCUAAAUGCUCUUAUAUUAGUUUACGGGGACAUAAUUCAACAGCCGAAAACAAACUGAAUUAUUCGAAUCAAACACAAUACAAUAAUCAUCCGCAUUACAAACAAUUAUUCAAAACAUGUCAUGAAUACAAAUACAAAUGAAUACAAAAAUAAGUCACUGUCCAGCCAUUUGCCAAUGGUGUUCAAUGAGAUCUUUCUGAAGUUGAAAGUGGGUGUGUGGGUUUUCAAUCUCCUUGUCUGUCUGAAGAAAAGCUCUAAUGCGGUUUGGGUCUCUAGCUGGUUUAACACGGCUACCCACAUUGUCGUAAAAGAAUUCUAAGUUCCCAAGAUUCCUCGCAAGCUUGAACAAUUUUCACAAAGAGGGAUCGACGCAUUCCUUCUUUGAGUAAAUUACCGGCAAUUUUCCUCGCAAGCUUGAACAAUUUUCACAAAGAGGGAUCGGCGCAUUCGGUACCUUCUCCGGAAGAGGUGUGGAGGAUAUGUAGGAUGUUGGGGAACGUCGCAUGGAAAACAAAUUUUUUCCUACGCGCACAAAGACCUAUCAUGGUGAUGUCCAUCUACGAGGGGGAUUUCAGAUCUACGUACCCUUGUAGAUCGCACAGCAGAAGCGUUAAUAAACGCGGUUGAUGUAGUGGAACGUCCUCACGUCCCUCGAUCCGCCCCGCGAACCGUCCCACGAACCGUCCCGCGAUCUGUCCCACGAUCCGCUCCGAUCUAGUGCCGAACGGACGGCACCUCCGCGUUCAGCACACGUACAGCUCGACGAUGAUCUCGGCCUUCUUGAUCCAGCAAGAGAGACAGAGAGGUAGAUGAGUUCUCCGGCAGCAUGACGGCACUCCGAAGGUUUGUGGUGAUCUAAUCUCAGCAGGGCUCCGCGCGAGCUCCGCAGAAACGCGAUCUAGAGGAAAAACCGUGGAGGUAUGUGGUCGGACUGCCGUGGAAAAGUUAUCCCAAAUCAGCCCUAAAACCGCCGUAUAUAUAGGUGGGAGGGGAGGGGCCUUGCCUUGGGGCUCAAGGAGCCCCAAGGGGUUCGGCCGAAGGGGGGAGGAGGAGUCCUCCUCCAAUCCUAGUCCAACUAGGAUUGGAAGGUGGAGUCCUUCCCUUCCUUCCCACUUCCACUUUUUUCUCUUUGAUUUUCUUAUCUCCCUGCGCAGGGGCCUCUCUGGGCUUGCCCACCAACCCACUAAGGGCCGGUGCGGCACCACUAAGGCCUAUGGUCUUCCCCGGGGUGGGCUCGNNNNNNNNNNNNNNNNNNNNNNNNNNNNNNNNNNNNNNNNNNNNNNNNNNNNNNNNNNNNNNNNNNNNNNNNNNNNNNNNNNNNNNNNNNNNNNNNNNNNCUAAAAAAAGGGUUACUUUUAGUUUUGUAAAACAAAUUUUUAGGUAAUGUUACCUUUUCUAUAAUUUUUACUGAAAUUACUAAAACAAUAAUUACAGUUUUUCUAAAAAAAAUAGUUUUGAAAUUUUGAAAAAAUUAGGUUUAACUUUUUCAUUUUUUUAAGGUAGUUUUAMAAAWARUUACCAAAUUWCARWAAHAAUUUAAAAAAAAUAAAAAAAAUAAAAACAAAGAACAAAAAGGGUAAAAGGGAAAGAAAAUAAAAGAAAGAAAAAAACAAACAAAAAAUCUAAAAAAGAUAAAAUACCAAAAACGUAGAAGAAACAGGAGGAACCUUCUAGGAGAAAAAACGACUGAGAAACUAUAGAAGGUUCCCCAAACCGGAAUGGUGCAACUUGUUAAUAGUCGGCCCAGGUGAUUACCAUAAAAUGGACACAAUUUUAAUUGUAGAUGUAACUAAUUCACAAAAUGAAUCGUGCAUGAAAAUUCACAUGCAUAUCUUCUUUGUGUGGCGCCCGGUUGUACAUCGUGUAGCAUUUGAUCUACAGGCGCUACACCUCUGAUAAGCGUGGCAUCCGAGGUUAUAAUUCUGAUUGUAUGAUGUUUAAAUGAAAGGAGUCACUCUACAUUAUAUGACACCCGCUGAAAGAAGCCACAUUAUUUUAUAUUAAAAUUGAUGUAACUUUUAAUCCUUGCAUCCGAUGAAAAUAUGUUUUAUAUGAAUAUUGUGUAUUUUUCUGUGUUCUACGCAAUGGUGUCAUUUCCAUCGAUGUUAAGAUCAAUUUUCUUGAUGAAAUCUCUGUUGCAAAAAUGCGUCAUAAUAUAAUUGAUCGGAUUUGUUAAGACUUACAAAGUUGACAUGAUGGUAGCCACUGACUUAUAGCUUUUAUGCAUUUGCAUUCUACAUGAGUUUUACCCUAUAUAAUGUGUAUGUUCACGUCAUGUUCAUGCUUGUCAUGUUAGUCAUCUUUAAUAUGUUCAUGUCUUGCAUCUAAGUGACUAACAUGAUAUAUUUUUUGUAAACAAUCUUAUGAAGCUUUAUUUAACUGAAAUCAAUGUUUACAGAAAUAAAUGCAGGAUCAUCGGGUUGCUUAACCACACAUGGUCGCCAACCCCUAGUCUGGUAACAUGCUUCGUUAUGGAUGGGCCAGUUCCAAACACAGUAGGCCCACUUCCACCUCGUAGCCGGGCUUAGUCAGGUCAGUCGUCCAUUGUAGGAUUUUCUUCCACCUGGUCUUCGCACCUCUGAGACGGGGAGAUGCGGAGGCCGUCGGCUUCGUCGCCUCCGGCGAGGGGACCGGCGUUGGCUGCAGCAGCCGCUGUCGUUCUCCUCCCGGCUAUUUUCCCCGCGCUGUUCUCCCCGCUCGGCCGCGCCUUCCCUUCCCUAUUCUCGGUGCGUCCCCUAUAGUCGCCAUCCUCCUCUCCAGGCGGCUCGAUUUGAGCCGGUGUAGCGUCAUAUUGGCGAUCUUCCGCUUCUCUAGCUGCUUCCUACGCCUCUCCUUGCUAGUUCGCCACUUUGCCGAGUCCGAUUGUUUGGGGUGGGCGAAAAUUGGAUAUAAUCUAGAGGGAUUGGUACUUUUGGGGGGAGGAAUGUAUGUGGAAGGUGAAAUGAUGUGGUGAAUUCGUGGCUUUGUCCCCUCUUGAAUUGGAACUAGUACGAAAUUACAUUUGUUUAUUUGGUGUAUAUGUAUGUCGAUGCAGAGUAACCUGUAAAUAAGCAAAGUGUGCAACCUGUAAAUAAGCGAAGUUUGCAAGAUCUGGAUUCUUUUGAUGGACAGCAUCAUGCCAGUUGCAUCGGAUAUUUUGGUUUGGACAGUGGUCUCCAAUGUGUGAUUACGAGUAGAUUUUUUUGUAUGCAUUUCGGGGCAGUGUGGGACGCUGGGACUGUACUCGGCUACCAUGAGCCAUGACAGUAUUGGGAAUAACAUGUGUACUGGAUUACUCUACUAUGGCUGUGAAGAUAGAUUGGCUACUGAUGUGGACCUUAGUAAAUAUUUCUGCAGACUGCAAUAUUGUCUUUUUAAGAUUAAUCAUGUGGACAGCGUGUAUACUGCAGGAGUGGAAUGCCCCUAAGCCAAUGCACGAGUCUCUUUUCAAUGAGUCUUUGCGAUGGACAAUAGUGAGUAUUCACAACUCAGAUAAAUACUGGAAAUAGUUAUGUUGAAGUCUAUUUGUAACUUACUCUCUGUACAGCCAGAUGAACAAAAAAGAGAUCUCUGGACACCCUUGCCUGAUCAGGGGUGGAAACCAUGCAUAAGGUCAUCGAUCACUCGUGGUAACAUUCUGUGAUAAAUCUGUUUAGGUAAUGAUAUGCCUCCCGCUGCGAUAGAUCACUAAGCAUUUGGUUAUAUGAAGUGUAGGGUUACCUUCACAACCCAGUGGGUACAUACAAGUAUUUCUUGAUGGUGGCCUGAACCAGCAGAGAAUGGGGGUAACUCACUUCUUAUGUACCAAACUCAUGAUGUUAGAUUUAAUAUAACUUGCUUGGUUGAAACUUCAGAUCAUCUGGCUCUUUCUUUUUGUUCUCUAGAUAUGUGAUGCAGUUGCGGUUGCUAAGAUUUUGAACGCUACUCUUGUGAUCCCACAUCUUGAAGUAAACCCUGUUUGGAAAGACUCAAGGUGCUUUUGGAGUUUCAGAGUACUACUGUAUCUUGUUAAUUUUAAAUACUCCUGUUAGAUUGGAAGUGAAAGGUUUAGUUUGGUCUGCAGCUCAUUUGGAGAUAUUUUUAAUGUGGAUCACUUCAUCAACACCCUAAGAGGCGAUGUUUCAAUAGUGAGAGCUCCAUUAAAAGAAUUUUCGUGGAGCACAAGAGAGUUCUAUAGCACAGGAAUACGUGCUACAAGAAUAAAAACUGCACCUCUUCAUGCCUCGGCUAAUUGGUAUAUAGAGAAUGUCAGUCCUAUCCUGCAAAGGUUUGUGAUUUUCUUGGCCAUAUAGUCGCUUCUCUAGACCCCUUGAGUAAGUGGCAUAAUAAUGCUAAGAAACUGCAGUUCAUGUUUAGCCCAGGUUGAUGGCCACUGAACUGGCUUUAUAGUAUUAACAUGACAACUCGUUGUCUAACUUCAUUAGUUGGUUACUCUGUGAGGGGAAUCCUUCACCGAAAAUCUCAUGCAAGCGUUGUUUCCCUUGUCAGCUAUGGCAUUGCUGCCAUUGCCCCCUUUUCUCACCGCCUUGCAUUCGAUGAUUUGCCUGUGGAUAUUCAACGCCUGCGCUGUAAAGUUAACUUUGAAGCCCUGGUUUUUGUGCCUUACAUUAUAUCACUGGGGAGGACCCUUGAGAAGCGCUUGAGAUCUCCAGUGCAGGGGCAUUCCACUGAAUUAACCCAACAAGUUGUAGAAGAUUACACAGAUCAGUCUGAAAAGUAUGCAGUUGUACAUCUCCGCUUCGAUAAGGUAAAUGGAAGGGCUUCUGCUAUAUUUGGAAGUCGUACGUGUAUAUUUUUGUUAUCUUCAAGGAAUUUCCACUCUGAAACAACUCAAGCUGACCUACAUUUUUCAGGAUAUGGCUGCACAUUCUGCCUGUGACUUUGGCGGUGGUAGAGCUGAAAAAUUAGCUCUGGCUAAGUACAGGCAAGUUAUCUGGCAAGGGAGGGUAUUAAAUUCACAGUUAAGUGAUGAGGAGCUUCGAAACACAGGACGCUGCCCGUUGACUCCAGAAGAGAUUGGAUUGAUACUAGUAGCGCUUGGCUUUGACAGCAAAACUCGAUUUUAUCUUGCCUCUCACAAGGUUUGACUCUCUGCCUCUGCCGGUGCGCUUACUUAUUCUCCGUAGUGGAAGCAGAAAUUUCUAACAUACGUCACCUAUUAAGGUAUAUGGAGGGGAAGCUAGGAUCUCUAGCUUGCGCAAGCUUUUCCCGCUGAUGGUAGACAAGAGGAGCCUUGCAUCGGCAGAUGAGCUUGCUAGUAUCGAAGGGAAGGCUUCUGUGCUAGCAGCUCUUGACUACCAUAUCAGCAUGCACAGCGAUGUUUUCAUCUCUGCUUCUCCUGGCAAUAUGCAUAAUGCACUGGUAAAUCCUGUUUGGCUUCAGCUGUAUUCGCUAGAUUUCUCCUCUUUCUUUAUUGGUCCUGACCAGAUGAUGGUUGAUUCAGCUGGCCCACCGGACCUAUAGGAAUCUGAAGACGAUAAGGCCAAACAUGACAUUGCUUGGCCACAUAUUUGUGAACAAGAGCAUGGAGUGGUCAGAGUUUCAGCAGGCUGUGCAGGCAGGCCACAAAGGUAGAUACGGGCAGAUCCGGCUGAGGAAGCCGAAGCAGUCUAUCUAUACUUAUCCUGCCCCAGAUUGUAUGUGCCCAGGGUAGAUCGCCAAGUUUUCUGCGGUGCACCGACAAAAGAAAUGUGCUGAGUUACUUGCAGUUUCUAAUUAGGUUAAGCUCAUGUGGAUAUGUAUAUUUAGUUCUGAAUUUUCGGUUGAAUCAGUUUGCUGCCACUUCCAAUAGGAUCUUAAAAUUUUAACCAAAAUUUACGCACUAUACGUUGAGCCUUGAAGGACUCUAAUCUUGUGCUGUUUGCACGAUCCAUACGACGAAGUUGUAGUUUUGGAGCUGAUGUUGUGUAUCUGUGACCUGACUUGAUAUACUGGAUCCUUUUUCUUCUUUUAUUCCGCUGUUCUACUUCUGGGAGUCCGGUGUUCUGAAUUUCUGCUUUGAUUUAGUAUUACUAUCGUCAUGGCGAAUUCGAUACUAAUGCUUCAAACUAGUAGUAUGUUUUGCCAUGUUUUAAAAUAACACGCAUGGGUGAUAUUACAAGUACAGCCUCCGUCGGAAGCCAUGGGCGAAUCCACAAGGACAAAGUUUCACCACCGGAACUUUAAGAUUACAACACGUUUUUGCACUGCCACCUACUCCUCCACACUUUGUACAUCCUCAGCACCCCAAAAUAAUAAUUCAGACCACCUGAAACCUCCUUGGUCGGUGAAAUCGACGGAUUUAUUGGCCGGAGAUGGUCUGGAUGAUGGUGUUGUGCCAUGGGUCGGCCAGGUGCUGCUGCAGGUUCUCGAACGGCCCCUUCCCGGUCACGUUGUGCUGCACCAGGAACCCCAGGAACGCCAGCAUGGCCAGUCUCCCUGAACGAAUGAACGCGCGCGCGAAUACAGAUUAACGAGAGCCGUCGGAUUAGAAACCCGAGGGUUCAGAUGAGACUGAAGAGAGGAUGGACGUACCGUUGGCGAGCUCCUUCUCCUUGUUCUCGAGGGUGGGGGCGAAGUUGAGGGGGUUGAAGACGCUGCCGGGGUAGCCGCACUCGUGGGGCGGGAGGCUGUAGCUCUUGAAGAUGGGGUCCUGGUUGACGGAGCCCGGGUUCUUGAUGUCCUGCCACCGCCGGAUCUCGACGUAGUGGAAGAGGAUGAACUCGAUGACGAAGAGCGUGGAGGAGGAGGCGAAGUAGGUCUCCUUGCCGGCGUCGUACCACUCGGGCGCGUUCAGCAGCCCCGCCUUGGUCAGCACCUCCGGGAUCAGCAUCCCCGCCACCCCCAGCAUCGCCCACCGCCCGUUCACCAGCUCCGCCUGCACGAACCACCGCAGGUCCUCCGGGUCCUCCGCCAGCGCCAGCGGGUCAAAACCAUUGUCACCCGCCAGACUGCACACGUAUCGUCCGUCAGUACGGUCGUAAACAUAUGUAACAGCUGCGUGCAUGGGCACGACGGAAGUGGUGUGGCGUGUCGUGUGGUCUGCUCACCUGCCGUCGAGGUAGGCAGGGGACUGGAGGCCGGGGAGCCAGGACCCCUUGGCCUGGACGGCGACGUCGCGGCGGGUGGACUUGGCGAGCCCGACGCGGCCGGAGUCGCCCAGGAACCGGGGGCUCGACGCUGACGCCGCCGGCCGGAGAGCGGCCACGGGAGCGCGGGCACUGACCGACGACAUCUUCUGCUACUCCUGACUAGAGAGCGCGUACGGCAGGAGAGUGAGAGUGCGCGCGUGUGUGUGUGGUGGUUCUGCCUCUCCGCACCUGCGCUUGGCCCUUUGUAUUGGGCUGCGCUUCGGUGAUUUGUGGGUGUGGUGAGCUGGGCCCCGGAGGUCGAGAUGGACGGCGUGUGUUGGCGCCACCGCGUCGUCCGACGGCUGCGAUGCGUUUGCGCCUGGAGACUGGAUAGAUGGACCAGUGGGAGACCGGGAGGCGUAUGUGCGUUAUCUGGAUGAUGGAUAAUGCGGAAUCAAAAGGGGGAUCGCUAUUGGUCGGGGAAACGCACGUUCGGUUUACCUGGCUGCCACGUCGAUCGGACGAUCCGUCAUGAUGUACAGCUGUACAUGGUGCCAUGGCGGGUUGGUCUGUUUGCUUCAACUUUCGAGCUCUUCCACGGGAAACCGGCUUUCGCCCUAGAAAUGGCACGGAUGGUCGAACGGAUACAAGGUGAUGGAAAGAACCCCAUAGAAGGCGGUCGCGGCGAGCCGUCACGAUCCCGUAAUCGAACAAGAAAAUAAGAGUCGCCACACCUAACAUGAGGCGACCUAGACUAUUGAAUCGGAACUCAACCGUGCCGCCUAGGAAAAUCAUAGACCAUUAUGCAUAAAACACAUCAAGUUAUCGCCGGAGAAAGUAAGUGUCGAUCCAAUCCGUGGAGUUCCAAUCCUGCGAGCAGAUAGCGAGGACCAAUGACAUUGACUACGAGGACACGUGUAAAUGAUAGGGGAUCAACGGAUCCACUCCACGACGAAGCCGAAGGCACCGAUGUGCUGUAACUGGAUGAUAUUUGUGUUCCCCGACAAUGCCCCGAGGAGGGUAAUGAUGUAGAGCGUUGAUACGUCUCCAACGUAUUUAUGGUGUUUUUAUUGUGUCAUGCUAUUAUAUUAUCAAUUUCGGAUGCUUUAUAUGCUAUUUUAUAUCAUUUUUAAGAACUAACCUAUUAACCGAGUGUCCAGUGUCAGUUCCUAUUUUUUGCGUGUUUUGACUUCUCAGAAAAUCAAUAACAAACGAAGUUCAAACAUGAUGAAACUUUAUGAUGAUUCUUUCUGGACCAAAAAGGGACCCCUAGAAGGUUCGGGAGGAGGCCAGAAGACGUAGGGAGAGCCACAAGCUCACAGGGUCGCCGCCCCCCCCCCCGGGGGGGGGGGUAGGGCCCCUUGAGCUCGUGACUCCCACAGAACUCAUUUUGACCUAAUUCCACCUCUAUAUAUUCCCAUAUAAUCCCAAACCAACAGAGAGACACCCGAAACACUUUUCCCACUGCCGCAAGACUUUGUUCUUCCGUGAUUCCAUGUGGAGGCCUUUCCGGUACUCUAGCAGAAGGUGAAUCGAUCAUGGAGUCCAUCUACAUCAACCUUGAUGUCUCCAUGAUGGUGCGUGAGUAGUUCACCACGGACAUACGGGUCCAUAGCUAGUAGCUAGAUGGCU
rnacentral:lncRNA from 1 species